rnacentral:rRNA from 1 species
UUUGGAGGGCAAGUUUGGUGCCAGCAGCCGCGGUAAUUCCAGCUCCAAUAGCGUAUAUUAAAGUUGUUGCAGUUAAAAAGCUCGUAGUUGAAUUUCGGGGUCAGUACGCCGGUCGUGCCUCUGGUAUGUACUGGUGUUACUGGUUCCUCCCUUUUGAAGAAUCGUCAUGUCAUUAAUUUGGUGUGGCGGGGAAUCAGGACUGUUACUUUGAAAAAAUUAAAGUGUAAAAGCAGGAA